AUUUGAGGAUGAUACACUUGAGUCUUUCUGCAGAAGAAUUCCUGGAAGGAAUUUUCUGCUUGUCAUUGGAAUCUAUUUUGCUAUAGUAUGAUCUUCUGACCUCCUUGUUUUGCUCUAGUUAAAGAAGAUAGAGAAGCUACAGAAGGCUUUGGAAAUCCAGCUUUUAACAUGAGCAACCCAGACCUCUCAGCACAUCAGACUUCAGAAGAGAAAAUUAUUAGACAUGACACGCUGGAUCGCACCCUUGCAGCUCACCAACAAAAAUCCAGGCUGCCAGUCUGCGCGGUGCCAAAAGGAAAUGAAUAUGGCAGAAAUUACUUUGACCCACUGAUGGAUGAGGAAAUAAACCCAAGGCAGUGUGGGAUGGAGGUCAGCAGAGAGGGUGAUGAUAAAGUUUUCUGUAAUCAAUUAAUGAAGUUGUCUGAUGAGAAUGAACAAGAAGAAUCUCAAGGUGGGAGCACCAAGGAGGACAUUUUGGAUUCUGAAGCACUCACAAGUUCCUGUAAGAUUCAAGAGACCCACAAAGAGGCAGAUGAAGCCACCUCUGAUUCCAUCCAGGAGUUUGAAAGACAUGCUCAGAAAGACAUAAUUCUGCUUGGAAGUUCUCCGUUUGAACAGGUCAGCAUUAAGUAUAUAUGUAAGAUGACCUAUUUUUAUUUUUUAUUUUUUGGUACCGGGGAUUGAACUUGGGUCCUUGCGCUUGCGCAGCAGGUGGUGAAACCAUUGAGCUAAAUCCCUGGUCCAAGAUGACCUAUUUGUAAAUGACAAAUUGAAAUGUCAGGCCUACACAUCCAUGGUCUAUGGAUUCUGCUUCCCUGCACAAUCUUCCUAGAACACACGAUUGUUAACUUCAUUGGACCUUUCCCUUUACAUUUCACACACAUUUUACCAGGCAGAAGUUACACUCCUUAUCAAAACCUUCCCAUGGCCCUUUCACCAUUUAGUUUCACUCCAUCUGGUUUUAUUUUAUGCUGUAGUGUUCAUUUCGUGCAGGCCAUGAAGAAUCUAACAUACAAUCCAAAACCAACAUAAACUUAUUUGGAUAAAUUUAUGUUGAAUUUAUUUACAGAAGCAUUGUAUUAGUGUAUAAGUAUUAGUACAUAAAUAUUUGUGAAGUCAUUAUUUAAG
rnacentral:lncRNA from 1 species